GUUCGCUUUGGCAACACAUACUAUGGUUAGAAUGAUACAAAGAAGAUUAGGAUGGUCUUUGUGCAAAGAUGACACACAAAUUCAUGAGGUGUUCCCAAUGAAU